GGUGAGGAUUUCUAUCGCUAAAGCCUACAAAUAAACGAAAAAAAGGGUUUUAUUUGGUUUUCGUUUUGUUCAUCCUUGCACGCUUCGUUCCUCUCUCUCUGUCACUCAGAUUCAGCAAAUUCUAUUUAUUCUCUCAUGGCUUCAGAUUCCAAAAAGGAUUUUCCAGCUGAUGACAAAGCUGGUACAGCAGAGAAUAAAACUUCCAAAGAUGAAACAUCCCCUAAAGAUUCGCAAGCAGGACAAAGAGCUACUUCUGGACCUGCAACUGGGUUUCCAGGCAACCCUUUUGAUUUCUCAGCAAUGUCUGGUCUGCUCAAUGAUCCUAGUAUCAAGGAGUUGGCUGAACAAAUAGCAAAAGAUCCAUCAUUCAAUCAGAUGGCUGACCAGCUUCAGAAAACUUUUAAAGGAGCUACACAGGAUGGUAUCCCUAACUUUGAUAAUCAGCAAUACUUUGCAACCAUGCAACAGGUCAUGCAGAAUCCUAAUUUUAUGACUAUGGCUGAGCGCCUGGGUAAUGCAUUGAUGCAGGAUCCAUCUAUGUCUUCCAUGCUUGAAAGUUUUGCUAAUCCAUCAAAUAAAGAUCAGCUUGAGGAGAGAAUGGCACGCAUCAAAGAAGAUCCAUCUUUGAAACAUAUUUUAGAGGAGAUAGAGACUGGUGGUCCUGCUGCUAUGAUGAGGUACUGGAAUGAUGAGGAUGUUUUGCGGAAGUUGGGACAAGCCAUGGGUCUUGCAAAUUCUGGAGAAGCAGCUGCUUCUGCUGAAAAUUCUGGGGUAGAUGAGACAGAAGAUGUGGGAAAUGAAGAUGAAUCAAUUGUUCAUCAUACUGCUAGUGUUGGUGAUGUGGAGGGCUUGAAAAAUGCACUAGCCUCUGGUGCUGACAAAGAUGAAGAAGAUUCAGAGGGAAGAACUGCUUUGCAUUUUGCAUGUGGAUAUGGCGAGGCAGGUACUUUCUUGGUGAAUAAUCUGCUCUGCAAUCUUGGUCAAUACUGGGUGUGUUCUUCCAGCUUGGGCUUUGGAGCAUAUUUAUGUGAUAUGUUUUAACAAUUUUGAAAAGUGAUGAGCAUACAACUAAACAUAAAAUUACAAAGGGACUACUGAGAGACAUAUCAUUCUUUGCUUCGUUGUCAGUGUCGUGAGUGUGAAUAGAAAAAUGGUAACAAGAUUUGAAUCCAUCUAGUUUGCUGAAUGCUUUGCAAUUUUAAAUGCAUUUUUUCACCCUUAGGCUUUGUUUGGAUGCGAGGUGAAAUAGAAAGAAAGGAAAUAGAGGAGAAAGAAAUAACAGGAUGAGAAAUAGAGUGGAAAUAGAGUGAACAAUAUUUGAUAUUUGGAUGAGUUGAAAUAGGACGGAAGAAAAUGAUAAAAAAUUCCUUCCAUUUUUUGGAUGAAUAAGAGUGUAGAAAAAAAUAAUUGAAUUGUGUUAAGAAUAUUCAUAAAAGAAUACAAUUGAGUUAAAAAAUUUGAAUUUUCUUAUUUUAAUUUUUUUCUUAAUAAAAUUUAUUUUAAUUUUUGUAUAAUUUUUAUGUUAUUUUAAUUUUUUAAAUGAAAAUUAAAAAAUAAUUCCUUAGUCAUCCCCCUCCCCUGUUCAUUUCUGCAGCUCUUUGGGUUUUUCCUUUUUUGUGGGACCCACAGAAAAACCCUUGUUCCUCCCUACCCUCGUCCAAACGUGGAAAUUUUUAAUUUCCCCUCCACUUCCUUCCCUACCGUAUUUCACCCCAAUCCAAACAGCACCUUAAUUAUUUUAUGGGGCAGCUUUCAUUUGGUCUUUUUAGACAUGGUUAUUAUCAACCUCUGUUGCUGUAAUUUUCCCUUUUGAUUACACUCAAAAGUCUUUUCUCAUUAGGUGUGAUUAGUAUGUGGAUUGAACAAUGCAUUUUGUUCUUUCAAUUUAUUAUUCAAAUGAAAAAGAAAAUUGGGCGUAGUUCAAUAUCAAUUCAUGUUAUGGAGAACCAUGAUGCCAACACAAGUAAAGUGGCUUUGGUGGUUCAUUGUAUUUUUUGGAAUAAUGUUCAGAUUCCACACAAAAUAUUGGUACUGUGGAGAUAACAGUUGCAAUUGUGGAAAUGUUGAUGUUUAACAAUACUGGCAGUAAUGGUGGGGGAAAGUUGCAAUGGCUCUGGUGGUAACAUUGAUGGUAGUGGUGUUGAUGAUGGAUAGUGGCAAUGAUAGCUGUAAUGGUGGGGGGUGGACUGAAGAGUGGCAACGGUGGCAAUGUGAAUGGAUAGUACUAUUUGGGUACUCCUGCAAGCAUCGUGAAAACUCAUCAGGAAGUAUAAUUUGAAUCCUUACUAGGCGCUUUUUAAUGAUAUCAUUUCAGGUGAAAUGUGCUCAAGUUCUACUUGAGGCUGGAGCGAAAGUCGAUGCUUUGGAUAAGAAUAAGAACACUGCUCUUCAUUAUGCAGCUGGUUAUGGCAGGAAGGACUGUGUGGCUCUUCUCCUUGAAAAUGGUGCUGCCGUUACUCUCCAGAAUAUGGACGGGAAAACUCCUAUAGAUGUUGCCAAGCUAAACAAUCAAAAUGAAGUCCUGAAGCUACUCGAGAAAGAUGCUUUCCUGUAGUUGUAAUGCAUGUUCCCAUGCUGUCACCAACAGGCAAGGGGGUUACUGAGGGAAAAUAGAAGGCAUACAUUUGACUUUAUUUUUCUUUUGGUUUCUUCUAAGCGUUUAGUGUGUUAAACCAAAUUCGCUUAACGGUGUUGGAUGCGAGUUACCAUAGAAUUUCUUAUCUAUGUUCUUGUAAUGCAUUGAUUGUUACACUGCAUGAUUUUGAAGAUUAGUGCCGUCAUGAUUUUACUUCAUGCUUCAAUUUUACAAAUAGUAAAUUAUUUUGUCG